UUGAGCCGUGUGCGGUGAAAGUCGCAUGCACGGUUCUUAGGGGGCUGGGCGCGGGUAACCGCGUCUGGCUACCCGAC
rnacentral:ncRNA from 1 species